UUUCAGACCUCACAAAUAAGAACCAAUUUUUCUUUCAAUAGAAAUGAGCGGAGUGUUCGAGUAGAGAAUUGUCACUAUCAAUACUUGCCCAAAAGACUGAAUGGUCAUUAUCUAUUCCCAAGUUGUGAUAGAUAUGAAACAAGCAAUACCAUAAUGUUUUGCUUUCCUCCCUCUCACAGGGAAGGAGCAAGGGGCUUUGAGGGAGCCUUCUGAGAGGAGGAAGACCAUACUUAAUGCUAAUAACACGGGGAAGACGGAGACUGGGGAUUGCAGUACAGAGUUUUGAGUUUCCAAAAAAUUUUUGAUAAUGAUCCUGUUCUAGGGAUUUGAUGAGCGACAAACAUAAAAAUUUUAAAGUGAUCCAGAAACCUUUAAAACGAGAUCUAUCAUAUGACAAAUGCUCAUAAAUAGCAUGAGGAUUAGAUAAAAGAGGUUACUGACUUCCUCAAGGUGCCCAGAAAAUAACUGACAGCAUCCCAAGAACACAGUCCUUACUGUCCAGUACAAGCUCCUCUUCACUGUCCCAAGCCACACAUGUACUCUGAGCACACGUGUUAAUGAGACUCGUAUUGUGUAGUAAUUCUACUCUGAAGUUUGUUGCUUUGGCCUAUGGAUAGAUUGAGAACCUUCGAAGCAAUUAGCACCAAUGAUUGUUAGAAUGAGAGGAGCAAGGUUAGUGAUCUGCUCUAAAGAAGCAAGUGGCACCAUGCUGUGUGAGCUGACCAUUAGUCAGCAUCACUUUAACCCAGGAAAGCCUGCUGCUGAAGUGGCCUAAGGUGAUGAAUCACAAGGAGCAUCUUGCUCUUGACUUGGCUGCCAUUAAAGUGAUGCCAAGCACCACAUAACCAACUGAAAGGCGUCAAGGGGUUGGCAAGCCACUUGCACAACAGAGUUUGAUGUUAAGCAUCUGGGAGUUUCCAGCAUAUGAAGGAUACAUGGGGGUUCCGAAAUUACCUACAUCACUGAGCACUGUACAGCUGUCACUUAAUAUUUAAACUGGAUGAGAAAUCACAAAAACUCUGGUUUCUCAAAAGCAGAACUACAAGCUGUCAAAGUUGUUGGGUCCUUGGAGGCUAUCCCAACUUAAUUACUUAUUUCACAAAUGGAGAAACGUGCCAUUAUUCAUGUGGGCAGAAGAAAGAAUACGGAGCUAGAAUCCUUCCUGGGUAUCUUGUUUUAGGGGAUUAUAGACAUAGACUCUUAAGGAACACCAUCUGUGCAAGAGGCACAGCGCACUGACUAAAUGCAUGCUGAGAGUCUCCUGGUUAAAUCCACCCUCUUCCUGUUUCACUUCACAUGCAGAUGCUGGAAAGGGUAGGGACCUAAUGAGAGGCAGCAGUCAGCCCCUCCCAGCUGUUCUUGCUCUAACCACAUCCUGGUCAGGUGCCAUUAUUCCCUGGCUCCCCUGACUUAUUCUUCACACUGUCCUCACUGAUGAUGGCUUUCCUAAAGCACUGUUGCCCUUCCAAAAACACUCCAACAAGGCAAUUUAUAGCUGACCUAUGUUUUUCUAAUAAUGUUUUCUCUCCUCUCUUCAUCCUGGAAAUCCACGUGUCUCAGUUGCUCUCAAUCACUGCCACGAGUCUGGUGAUGCGCUAAGCUCGGGGCAGGAUCUCAAGGGCUUUGAGGUAAAUAAGGUACCCUCUGUGGGCUCUGUUUCAAUUAGAUGCUAGAGCAAUUGUCAUCAUUUUAGAGAACAAAGAUACUGUGAUCGAAAACCGUGAAGGCUGCUGUCUAUGUCAUGCUUGUCCCUAGUUUACAUGCAUUUUCCAGAUAACCAAAUCCAAUAAGCCCUGAGUGCACCCUGAUCCCCUCUCCACUCCCGUGUCAGCUCCAAAUGGAUGGAAGAUGACAGGAAGGAACUAGCUGGGACACAGAGCAAAACUUCUAGAGUUAAUGAGACAGUAACUCUCAUCUUAGUUCCUGAUGAAGGACCUAAAGCUGUUUGGUGUGGCUAGGAGCAUAUGAUUUUCCUGAGGGACCUGUUAAACAAGUCCCAUCUCUCUUGAGUUUCAGCUUACAUAGCCAGAAAAUAAAUCCUUUCCCUGUUCCAAGCAAAGUACUAGGACAUCUUGCUUCUCUUGCCUCUACAGACAGCAAGAUGACUUCAUGGCUUUCUCUUUCACCACAGUCACUGGUGCUCAGUACAAAUGAGA
rnacentral:lncRNA from 1 species